AGAUAGAACAUAAAUCGAACAAAACGACACGCACCCCUUCUUUCUCAAUUCUCCACGGCGAGGUUAAAAAAAAUAAAAAUGGCGAGCUCUCUCACUUCGCCUAAGCUCACCACCACCAUCUCUUCCUCGCCAGCUCUUCAAACCCUCUUCUUCCGCAAGAACCUCCCUCUCUCUUUCUCCAAUCCCUUUCUCUCUCUUCCCAAAACCCUAACCUCUGUUCCUAACCGUUAUCGCCGCUCUCUCUCUCACCACCACUAUUCGCGUGGCUUUGUGGCUGCUGCUAGCGCCGACUCAGACAACGGUGCCGAUCUCUCCCGCCAAUAUGAUUUCGACCUCUUCACUAUUGGUGCCGGAAGUGGUGGCGUCCGAGCUUCUCGCUUCGCUUCUAAUUUCGGUGCCUCUGUGGCCAUUUGUGAGCUCCCAUUCUCGACCAUAUCUUCAGAGACCACGGGAGGCGUUGGUGGCACGUGUGUACUCCGUGGAUGUGUACCCAAAAAACUAAUGGUAUACGCGUCAAAAUAUUCUCAUGAAUUUGAAGAGAGUAAUGGCUUUGGAUGGAAAUAUGAUAAUGAACCAACGCAUGACUGGAGCACUCUGAUGGCUAACAAGAAUGCUGAGUUGCAGCGUCUCACUGGUAUCUACAAGAAUAUUUUGAAAAAUUCUGGUGUCACAUUAAUUGAAGGUCGUGGGAAGGUGGGACAAUGUAAAAAAAUAGUGGACCCACAUACAGUUGAUGUGGAUGGAAGGCGAUAUUCGGCAAGACAUAUAUUAAUUUCAGUUGGGGGACGCCCCUUCAUUCCUGAAAUUCCUGGAAGUCAAUAUGUAAUAGAUUCAGAUGCUGCCCUUGAUUUGCCCUCAAAGCCUACAAAAAUAGCAAUAGUUGGUGGUGGAUACAUUGCCUUGGAGUUUGCUGGCAUCUUCAAUGGUUUGAAAAGUGAUGUCCAUGUAUUUAUACGGCAGAAGAAAGUCCUAAGAGGCUUUGAUGAGGAGAUUAGAGAUUUUGUUUCGGAACAGAUGUCAGUUAGAGGAAUUGAGUUCCAUACUGAAGAAUCCCCCCAAGCUAUCCUUAAAUCUGCUGAUGGUUCGUUAUCUUUGAAGACCAGCAAAGGAACAGUUGAAGGUUUCUCACACAUUAUGUUUGCAACAGGACGCAGGCCCAAUACAAGGAACUUAGGAUUGGAGGAAGUUGGGGUAAAAUUGAACAAGAAUGGAGCAAUAGAGGUUGACGAGUACUCUCGUACAUCAGUCCCUUCCAUUUGGGCAGUCGGAGAUGUUACAGAUAGACUGAAUCUAACUCCAGUAGCUUUGAUGGAGGGAGGUGCAUUGGCAAAAACAUUGUUCCAAAAUGAGCCAACAAAACCUGUUUAUAGAGCUGUUCCUUCUGCCGUAUUUUGUCAGCCACCAAUUGGACAAGUUGGCCUUACUGAAGAACAGGCAAUACAAGAAUACGGCGACAUUGAUGUCUUUACAGCAAACUUCCGGCCCUUAAAGGCUACCCUAUCAGGCCUCCCAGAUCGUGUAUUCAUGAAACUUAUUCUCUCUGCAAAGACACAGAAAGUUGUGGGGUUGCACAUGUGUGGGGAAGAUUCACCGGAAAUUGUGCAGGGAUUUGCGGUUGCUGUGAAAGCUGGCCUGACCAAGGCAGACUUUGAUGCCACAGUGGGUGUACACCCAACAGCCUCCGAAGAGUUUGUCACAAUGAGAACUCCAACCCGGAAGAUACGAAAGGACCCUUCAUCAGAGGGAAAGACGGAUUCUGAGACUAAAGCUGCAGCAGGGGUUUAGUAUUGAUCAUGGAACAGAUCAGGUUUAUAGCAAUGCAAAUUAGUCGCCCUUCUUGAUCAAACUCUUUUGGCAAGAACUAUUCACAGGUUCUGCCUCAAGUUAAGGUCUACAUUCUUGGAAAUGGCUGAUGAAAAUUAAUUCCAACCGGUUAAGGAAGUUGGCAUCACCUGUAAAAGUGGAUGAUGCGAUUAUCAGGGAGCAGAAACAGUUUUGGGACAAUGGAAAAGCUUAAACAGAAGUUAGAAAAGUAAUCAGACGUAAUGGUACUAUACCUUUGUGGCAUAGUUUCUCACUCUUGUAGCAUUGCCGCCGUGAAGAGCAAUGAGAAUCACGAUACCACCCCCUUCCAACAUUUUUCCUUGUGGUGAAUGGACGUUUGGUUCUUUUCCUCGCUCUUUUAUUUUUCUCCUUUUUAGCUUCCAAUUUUCAUGGUCUUUGUACAAAUAUUUUACAGACGAAAUAAGAUAUGUAAUUUGUUAUGUUGUAGAUACAAUAAUUUUAAUAACAUUGCAGGUUAAAUAAUCGAAUGAUAAAAGAAUUAUUGGUAUUCAAUCGCUAAA